UACGGGGGGGGCAAGCGUUGUUCGGAAUUACUGGGCGUAAAGGGCUCGUAGGCGGCCAACUAAGUCAGACGUGAAAUCCCUCGGCUUAACCGGGGAACUGCGUCUGAUACUGGAUGGCUAGAGGUUGGGAGAGGGAUGCGGAAUUCCAGGUGUAGCGGUGAAAUGCGUAGAUAUCUGGAGGAACACCGGUGGCGAAGGCGGCGAUCUGGGUCGAUACUGACGCUGAGGUGCGAAAGCGUGGGGAGCAAACAGG
rnacentral:rRNA from 1 species